UACAGAGGUCUCAAGCGUUGUUCGGAAUUACUGGGCGUAAAGCGUGCGUAGGCGGCGAGGUAAGUCAGAUGUGAAAUGCCGGGGCUCAACCCCGGAACUGCAUCCGAUACUGCCUUGCUCGAGUAGUGGAGGGGAGUCUGGAAUUCACGGUGUAGCAGUGAAAUGCGUAGAUAUCGUGAGGAACACUAGUGGCGAAGGCGAGACUCUGGACACUUACUGACGCUGAGGCACGAAGGCCAGGGUAGCGAAAGGG
rnacentral:rRNA from 1 species